GAGCCGUUAGCUCAGUUGGCAGAGCACCGGAUUUUUAAUCCGGGUGUCCCGGGUUCGAGCCCCGGACGGCUCACCA
rnacentral:tRNA from 1 species